rnacentral:misc_RNA from 1 species
AAGUCGUAACAAGGUUUCCGUAGGUGAACCUGCGGAAGGAUCAUUAGCGUAAUUCUGGUUGAAAAACCGAGGAUUUCCACACUUGUGUUUUAAGCAAAAGGUUUUCAAAGUGUUCUCUUGUUUUCUUUACUAGAAAAGGGAGACACUAGGAAUUUUUUGCGAACUCAAAAACUGUCUCUUUUUUUCUUUUCUGUUUGAUUACAGAGGAAGAAGGACGGUAUAAACUUUUUUAUUAUCAAUAAUAAAUAAAAACUUUCAACAACGGAUCUCUUGGUUCUG